CUUCUAGUGGUGGAUCAC
rnacentral:rRNA from 1 species